GGUCCAGCCUGCCCAGUGACCCAGUUCAACGGCCGCGGUAUCCUAACCGUGCGAAGGUAGCGUAAUCACUUGUUCUUUAAAUAAGGACUAGUAUGAAUGGCAUCACGAGGGUUAUACUGUCUCCUUUUUCUAAUCAGUGAAACUAAUCUUCCCGUGAAGAAGCGGGAAUAAAUUUAUAAGACGAGAAGACCCUAUGGAGCUUUAAAUAUAUAGCAAAUGCUUAUUCUUCAUUCUCAUCCAGAUGACUCACUUUUAUUUUAGCAUUUUGACCUAUAAAUUUUAGGUUGGGGUGACCAUGGAGCAAAAAUCAACCUCCAUAUUGAAAAAACCUCAUUUUUAAGCAAAAAGUUACCACUUUAAGCAUCAACACACUGACAUUAAUUGACCCAAUAGUUUGAUCAAUGAACCAAGUUACCCUAGGGAUAACAGCGCAAUCUACUUCGAGAGCUCUUAUCGACAAGUAGGUUUACGACCUCGAUGUUGGAUCAGGGUAUCCUAGUGGUGCAGCCGCUACUAAAGGUUCGUUUGU
rnacentral:rRNA from 1 species